UACACACGUGCUACAAUGGACAAUACAAAGGGCAGCGAAACCGUGAGGUCAAGCAAAUCCCAUAAAGUUGUUCUCAGUUCGGAUUGUAGUCUGCAACUCGACUACAUGAAGCUGGAAUCGCUAGUAAUCGUAGAUCAGCAUGCUACGGUGAAUACGUUCCCGGGUCUUGUACACACCGCCCGUCACACCACGAGAGUUUGUAACACCCGAAGCCGGUGGAGUAACCUUUUAGGAGCUAGCCGUCGAAGGUGGGACAAAUGAUUGGGGUGAAGUCGUAACAAGGUAGCCGUAUCGGAAGGUGCGGCUGGAUCACCUCCUUU
rnacentral:rRNA from 1 species